UUAGAUUAGUAGGAGAUGAAAAUUAAAGAAGGAGACAAAAUGAAGUGUUGAUCACCGAGUGUAUCAAAAUUCAUCAACAACUCUGAUCUUGAUAGAUCACAGUCUGACGGUGUCGUCUUCCCCGGGCCGUCGGCUGCUUGGUUGAUUGUCUCUUUAGGUAAAGAUAUUAUGAAACCUUAUGCUAUUCGAUCUUUGGGUUCUUGAAACUUAUCUCCAAGUAUUUAAUUAAUAAAAGGGUCCCUUAAAGACAUUUUUGGUUUCAUAUUGGUCCCUUAAAGAAAAAAAGGUCUAAAUAGGUCCCUUAAAGAAAAAAAGGUCCGAAUAGGUCCUUAAAGACAUAUCCGUUAAUUAGUUUGGUCUUAUUUAGACCUCUUUUUAGGGAUCAAACUGAUUAACGGAGAUGUCUUUAAGGGACCUAUUCGGACUUUUUUUUCUUUAAGGACCUAUUUGGACCUUUUUUUUUUUAAGGGACAAUCUGAAACCAAAAAUAUCUUUAAGGGACCAUUUUAUUAAUUAAGCCUUUAUUCAAAUACAAAUAUAUGUUUUGGGUAUCUUUGGCUACCCCACUGAUACACUAAUUAAGCUUCGACCCUGAUUGUUGUUUCCUUGUAUGUUUGAACUUAUCAUUUUUUGUUCAUAAAUUUUACACCUUUACUAACCUUGUUUUGUUGUAGGUCACUCCCCAAAGCUCCAAUCCUUGCUUUCCAACAAGAAAAUGAAAAUAUCGACCUCC
rnacentral:lncRNA from 1 species